GAGGGCAUAGCUCAGUGGUAGAGAACAUUCUUGGCACGCAUGAGGUCCUGGGUUCAAUCCCCAGUACCUCCA
rnacentral:tRNA from 1 species